rnacentral:rRNA from 1 species
AUUGAACGCUGGCGGCAGGCCUAACACAUGCAAGUCGAGCGGAGCGGCGGACGGGUGAGUAAUGCCUAUGAAUCUGCCUGGUAGUGGGGGAUAACGUCCGGAAACGGGCGCUAAUACCGCAUACUAUCAGAUGAGCCUAUGUCGGAUUAGCUAGUAGGUGGGGUAAUGGCUCACCUAGGCGACGAUCCCUAGCUGGUCUGGGAGGAUGACCAGCCACACUGGAACUGGGAAACGGCGCAGACUCCUAAUGGAGGCAGCAGUGGGGAAUCGUCCGCAAUGGAGGACAGUCUGAAGGAGCAAAGGCGCGUUAGUGAGGACGGCCUUCGGGUUGUAAAGCUCGGUUAAUCGGGACGCGGUACCGGAAGAGAAAGCCACGGCUAACUCCGUGCCAGCAGCCGCGGUAAUAC